CAGUCGCCGCGGUAAUACGAAGGGGGCUAGCGUUGUUCGGAAUUACUGGGCGUAAAGCGCACGUAGGCGGAUAUUUAAGUCAGGGGUGAAAUCCCGCAGCUCAACUGCGGAACUGCCUUUGAUACUGGGUAUCUUGAGUAUGGAAGAGGUUAGUGGAAUUGCGAGUGUAGAGGUGAAAUUCGUAGAUAUUCGCAGGAACACCAGUGGCGAAGGCGGCUAACUGGUCCAUAACUGACGCUGAGGUGCGAAAGCGUGGGGAGCAAACAGGAUUAGAUACCCGCGUAGUCCCUGUCUCUUAUCC
rnacentral:rRNA from 1 species